rnacentral:rRNA from 1 species
AACGCUAGCUACAGGCUUAACACAUGCAAGUCGAGGGGAAACGAUAUUGGAAGCUUGCUUCCGAUAGGCGUCGACCGGCGCACGGGUGAGUAACGCGUAUCCAACCUGCCCAUCACUUGGGAAUAACCUUGCGAAAGUAAGACUAAUGCCCAAUGACAUUUAUAGAAGGCAUCUGAAAUGAAUUAAAGAUUUAUCGGUGAUGGAUGGGGAUGCGUCUGAUUAGCUUGUUGGCGGGGUAACGGCCCACCAAGGCGACGAUCAGUAGGGGUUCUGAGAGGAAGGUCCCCCACAUUGGAACUGAGACACGGUCCAAACUCCUACGGGAGGCAGCAGUGAGGAAUAUUGGUCAAUGGGCGAGAGCCUGAACCAGCCAAGUAGCGUGCGGGAAGACGGCCCUAUGGGUUGUAAACUGCUUUUAUAGGGGAAUAAAGUGAGCCACGUGUGGUUUUUUGCAUGUACCCUAUGAAUAAGGACCGGCUAAUUCCGUGCCAGCAGCCGCGGUAAUACGGAAGGUCCGGGCGUUAUCCGGAUUUAUUGGGUUUAAAGGGAGCGUAGGCCGGAGAUUAAGCGUGUUGUGAAAUGUAGACGCUCAACGUCUGCACUGCAGCGCGAACUGGUUUCCUUGAGUACGCAUAAAGUGGGCGGAAUUCGUGGUGUAGCGGUGAAAUGCUUAGAUAUCACGAAGAACUCCGAUUG